rnacentral:lncRNA from 1 species
ACAAUUACUGCUCAAAUAGUUAACUAAAAUCAUGUGUUUCUUGCAUUUCACUUACUAGCACAGUUUUUAAAGUAUCUAGUGUAUAUAAGGACAAGCCAUUCUCAGUCAAGCAUGAAACUGAAUCUGAGGAACUUAAGCAGGAAAAGAAGAAAGCUGAAAACACACUGAGGAUUAUGGGAGAGGGGCAAGUGCAUGAAGCUUCUCAAUGACAUACAGACACUCUAAAAGCUCAAGAGAUCAAUUAUUCAACUUCAAGAACUGAAAUUUGAACACAGAUUUUGAGCUUCCAAAUCAGCAGCUACACAGGGAUAUUCAUCCAAGCAGAAAGAUAAUACCAGAGUUCCGAACUGGAGGCUGAAUAGCAAAAGGAAGAAAAGCACUUCACAUAAAAUAGACAGGCAUGCGACUGCUGUUAAACUGGCUCACUCCAUAUACUCUGUGCUACAGCAAUUUAAUAUUUCAUUAAAAAGCAUUAAUGAUGGCUCCAGUGAAUUUCUCCUAUUCAAGCUCCAUAAUGACAGCAGUUCAAGCGAGUGUUGAUCUCUGAGUGAUGCAACACAAAAACAUCGCCUAACAAAGGAACACUUGGAGUACUACUCAUAUUCUCUGCAACUUGAGGAGAAAAAGAAGUGUUCUAUAAGAAGUUUGGACAAGACUCUGCAAGAAGUUAAGAGGUCCUUAAAGGCAACUGUGAAUUAACGGAGACUAGUUUUGAGAAAAUCAGUCCUGAUUUGUUUCUCCUGGAGUUUUCUUCUUUAUGUGAUCCUUCAUAAAAGCUGCUAAUAUGGGAAAGAUUGAAAUCAGCAAGUUUCUGGCUGUAAGCUAAAAGAGGCUCUUGAAUCAUAUUUCCGCCUGCUUAGCAAAUUUCUCUUGCGACAAUUGGAUGUUAUUUGGGGUUCCAUACUAGCAGGAAGAAGUACAAGCAAAGCUAAGUCAUUUUGAGAAUAAAUAUUAUCUCUCUAUAUAUUUGUAAAUGUUAUUUUCUUUUUUUUUGAGGUUUAUGAUUGAUCCUUGGCAUGUGUCCCCUUGUGUAUUGCUCUACUAAAAAUAGCCUAAAAAAGAAUUUUCCCCUCGAUGUGGAGCUUCUCUUUAGUUACAAUUCUACUUUCUCCUUCACUUGAGUAUCAGUCUUCAGAGAACUACCAUAACAAAGGAGUGGAUACAGAUAUACGCAAAAAAGUCUAUGAGAAAAUUAGUACAUUAAAUUUGUGAAAGCUCAUUUAAAGUAAUUUUCUACUAACAAUUUUAAUCAAAUGUAUUAAUCAUAUUUCUAUGCUUAGUGAUGUUAAAUAAAAAUUUAAAAGGUGGCAAUCAAUAAACAGAGAUAAAAGCUUCUCAAGAAUAAAUGAAAGGAAGUAAUAAAAAGACUCACUAAGCUGAAUUGCCUCCUAUCAACAGCAGCUGAUAAAAUAUUAAAAGAUUUGCCUUGUGUA